UACAGAGGUCUCAAGCGUUGUUCGGAUUCAUUGGGCGUAAAGGGUGCGUAGGUGGCGCCGUAAGUCAGGUGUGAAAUUUCGGAGCUUAACUCCGAAACUGCAUUUGAUACUGCGGUGCUUGAGGACUGGAGAGGAGAUUGGAAUUCACGGUGUAGCAGUGAAAUGCGUAGAUAUCGGGAGGAAGACCAGUGGCGAAGGCGGAUCUCUGGACAGUUCCUGACACUGAGGCACGAAGGCUAGGGGAGCAAACGGG
rnacentral:rRNA from 1 species